rnacentral:rRNA from 2 species
GAUUAAGUUAUUAAGGGCGCACGGUGGAUGCCUUGGCACUAGAAGCCGAUGAAGGACGUUACUAACGACGAUAUGCUUUGGGUAGCUGUAAGUAAGCGUUGAUCCAGAGAUUUCCGAAUGGGGGAACCCAGCAUGAGUUAUGUCAUGUUAUCGACAUGUGAAUUUAUAGCAUGUCAGAAGGCAGACCCGGAGAACUGAAACAUCUUAGUACCCGGAGGAAGAGAAAGAAAAAUCGAUUCCCUGAGUAGCGGCGAGCGAAACGGGAAGAGCCCAAACCAACAAGCUUGCUUGUUGGGGUUGUAGGACACUCUAUACGGAGUUACAAAAGAACAUGUUAGACGAAUCAUCUGGAAAGAUGAAUCAAAGAAGGUAAUAAUCCUGUAGUCGAAAACAUAUUCUCUCUUGAGUGGAUCCUGAGUACGACGGAGCACGUGAAAUUCCGUCGGAAUCUGGGAGGACCAUCUCCUAAGGCUAAAUACUCUCUAGUGACCGAUAGUGAACCAGUACCGUGAGGGAAAGGUGAAAAGUACCCCGGAAGGGGAGUGAAAGAGAACUUGAAACCGUGUGCUUACAAGUAGUCAGAGCCCGUUAAUGGGUGAUGGCGUGCCUUUUGUAGAAUGAACCGGCGAGUUACGAUCUGAUGCAAGGUUAAGCAGCAAAUGUGGAGCCGCAGCGAAAGCGAGUCUGAAUAGGGCGUUGAGUAUUUGGUCGUAGACCCGAAACCAGGUGAUCUACCCUUGGUCAGGUUGAAGUUCAGGUAACACUGAAUGGAGGACCGAACCGACUUACGUUGAAAAGUGAGCGGAUGAACUGAGGGUAGCGGAGAAAUUCCAAUCGAACUUGGAGAUAGCUGGUUCUCUCCGAAAUAGCUUUAGGGCUAGCCUCAAGUGAUGAUUAUUGGAGGUAGAGCACUGUUUGGACGAGGGGCCCCUCUCGGGUUACCGAAUUCAGACAAACUCCGAAUGCCAAUUAAUUUAACUUGGGAGUCAGAACAUGGGUGAUAAGGUCCGUGUUCGAAAGGGAAACAGCCCAGACCACCAGCUAAGGUCCCAAAAUAUAUGUUAAGUGGAAAAGGAUGUGGCGUUGCCCAGACAACUAGGAUGUUGGCUUAGAAGCAGCCAUCAUUUAAAGAGUGCGUAAUAGCUCACUAGUCGAGUGACACUGCGCCGAAAAUGUACCGGGGCUAAACAUAUUACCGAAGCUGUGGAUUGUCCUUUGGACAAUGGUAGGAGAGCGUUCUAAGGGCGUCGAAGCAUGAUCGCAAGGACAUGUGGAGCGCUUAGAAGUGAGAAUGCCGGUGUGAGUAGCGAAAGACGGGUGAGAAUCCCGUCCACCGAUUGACUAAGGUUUCCAGAGGAAGGCUCGUCCGCUCUGGGUUAGUCGGGUCCUAAGCUGAGGCCGACAGGCGUAGGCGAUGGAUAACAGGUUGAUAUUCCUGUACCACCUAGUAUCGUUUUAAUCGAUGGGGGGACGCAGUAGGAUAGGCGAAGCGUGCUGUUGGAGUGCACGUCCAAGCAGUAAGGCUGAGUGUUAGGCAAAUCCGGCACUCAUAAGGCUGAGCUGUGAUGGGGAGAGGAAAUUGUUUCCUCGAGUCGUUGAUUUCACACUGCCGAGAAAAGCCUCUAGAUAGAUAACAGGUGCCCGUACCGCAAACCGACACAGGUAGUCAAGAUGAGAAUUCUAAGGUGAGCGAGCGAACUCUCGUUAAGGAACUCGGCAAAAUGACCCCGUAACUUCGGGAGAAGGGGUGCUCUUUAGGGUUCACGCCCAGAAGAGCCGCAGUGAAUAGGCCCAAGCGACUGUUUAUCAAAAACACAGGUCUCUGCUAAACCGUAAGGUGAUGUAUAGGGGCUGACGCCUGCCCGGUGCUGGAAGGUUAAGAGGAGUGGUUAGCUUCUGCGAAGCUACGAAUCGAAGCCCCAGUAAACGGCGGCCGUAACUAUAACGGUCCUAAGGUAGCGAAAUUCCUUGUCGGGUAAGUUCCGACCCGCACGAAAGGCGUAACGAUUUGG